AAGACUAUGCUUUGGGUAUCAUUUCUUAGUUCAUUACUAGAGAAGCUUCUCUGAUUGUGUAGAGCACCUAAACCUGUGUGGAAGACCCAGAGCAUCUUUUCCGGAGCAUCAAGCCAGUUCUAGGUAUUAGUUUAGCGACUGCCAUUUAACAUUGAUGAUCAUUCUUUUCUUCCUCUGGAAGAAGGAGAGGGAGAGGAUGUAGCCUGAGUGGU